rnacentral:lncRNA from 1 species
UGUCGUAUUUCCUAAAUUAUUUUUUUUGCUACUUAUCUGAAGUUACAGAUUUUGCUGUAGCUAAAAAUGUCCUUGUAGCCCAAUGAACUGACAAGAGAACAAUUUCUAAAAAAGUUGUGCAUUACUUUUCUUAAAUCCUUGUCUCUGAAAGAGAAGUGAAUGCAAGUGAUGCUGAGAGACCUUCCCAAGAUUUAACAGAAGAUGUUGAAAGACAGCUUGUCAUAAGAAUUAAAACACCAACAUUGACCGUUCCAUCACUGUUAAAAAUCAAAGAACUGGAUAAUUUUCUUCUGUUUUCUGGCGUAUAAGAAACACUGCCCAACACUGGUACCGUGCAGUUGAAAAAAUCUGUAAGAAGAGUGGGAAACUUCUGUUGGAUCUGUGUUCCUAGAGACUGUAAGAUCUUUUCCAGAGAGAGCCAAAUCCAGAUAAUUGAAGUUGGGAUCGCAGCUGCUCAGAAAUGCCUUGAAGCUUUGUCUUCUCUUUUUGAGAAAUUCUUUUGUAAGGUUUCUGGUAUCUUUAUCUUAGAAUUACUUUAAUUAGAAACCUCAACAGGAAUGGUUAUGAAAGUGAGUG